UUAAGUCCCAUAACGAGCGCAACCCCUACCUUUAGUUGCCAUCAGGUUAAGCUGGGGACUCUAAAGGAACUGCCUACGCAAGUAGUGAGGAAGGCGGGGAUGACGUCAAAUCAGCACGGCCCUUACGUCCAGGGCUACACACGUGCUACAAUGGCCGAUACAGAGGGCAGCUACCUGGUGACAGGAUGCAAAUCUCCAAAGUCGGUCUCAGUUCGGAUCGGAGUCUGCAACCCGACUCCGUGAAGUUGGAUUCGCUAGUAAUCGCGCAUCAGCCAUGGCGCGGUGAAUACGUUCCCGGGCCUU
rnacentral:rRNA from 1 species